GACGAACGCUGGCGGCGUGCUUAACACAUGCAAGUCGAACGGAAAGGCCCUGCUUUUGUUGGUUGCUCGAGUGGCGAACGGGUGAGUAACACGUGAGUAACCUGCCCUUGACUUUGGGAUAUCUUCAGGAAACUGGGGCUAAUACCGGAUAGGAUCUCCUGCUGCAUGUUGGGGGUUGGAAAGUUUCGGCGGUUGGGGAUGGACUCGCGGCGUAUCAGCUUGUUGGUGGGGUAGUGGCUUACCAAGGCUUUGACGGGUAGCCGGCCUGAGAGGGUGACCGGCGACAUAGGGACUGAGAUACGGCACAGACUCCUACGGGAGGCAGAAGUGGGGAAUAUUGAAGAAGGGGCGGAGGGCGGAUGCAGCAGCGCCGCGGGCGGGAUGACGGCCUUAGGGUGGUAAACCGAUUGCGCCUGUGACGAAGCGUGAGUGAAGGUAAUGGGUAAAGAAGCACAGGCUAAAUAAGUG
rnacentral:rRNA from 1 species